rnacentral:rRNA from 1 species
UGGGGAAUAUUGGACAAUGGGGGGAACCCUGAUCCAGCCAUGCCGCGUGUGUGAAGAAGGCCUUAUGGUUGUAAAGCACUUUAAGCGAGGAGGAGGCUCUGAGACUAAUACUCUUGGAUAGUGGACGUUACUCGCAGAAUAAGCACCGGCUAACUCUGUGCCAGCAGCCGCGGUAAUACAGAGGGUGCGAGCGUUAAUCGGAUUUACUGGGCGUAAACGUGCGUAGGCGGCUUUUUAAGUCGGUGUGAAAUCCCCGAGNUUAACUUGGGAAUUGCAUUCGAUACUGGGAAGCUAGAGUAUGGGAGAGGAUGGUAGAAUUCCAGGUGUAGCGGUGAAAUGCGUAGAGAUCUGGAGGAAUACCG